GCUGCUGGGAGAUAGCUGGUUCAUCCCGUGGAUAAGCUGACACUCUGUUCCAAACGGGAUAGGCUGCGGAUGUUUGGGAGAUAUCUAGAAUGAAUCCGGGUAAAGAGGAGGAUCGGUGAAGCUAAUCCAAAUGCUGGGAAGGAUUCGAAGAAGACGUGGACGUGAAGUUGAGAGGGAUUUACGGACGAAGAGCUUGGAUCCGGCUGGGAAUGAACUAAGAACAGGGGAUAAGCUUGUAAUCCGAGAUGCAGGGGAUUUGAUGCGGUUGUGGGAUGAAUUCAUGUUCGUGGGAUAAGGCUGCAACCUGGAACAGGGGAGCUGGGGAGUUUCGAAGUGCUG
rnacentral:lncRNA from 1 species